rnacentral:ncRNA from 1 species
CAAGAGCCCUACUGGAAAAGAGAACAGCGACUCCAUCCUGGCCUCGAGUCUUGCAUGAGACAUCGUGAGGUGUCUCGUGAAGCGUAGACCAGAGGUACCGUGGGCCGGGCUAUUGAGCUUCGAAAAGCCGAUGGAUCAUGCUAGGGUCCUGAGUGCGUCGCGAAGUAUCGCAUCG